rnacentral:rRNA from 1 species
GUCCUAGCUGUAAACGAUGGGCACUGGGCAAUGGGUUUUCCUAUGAUGUUCAUUGCCGGAGCAAAAUGUGUUAAGUGCCCCGCCUGGGGAGUACGCUCGCAAGGGUAAAAACUCAAAAGGAAUUGACGGGGGAUCACACAAGCGGUGGAGCAUGUGGUUCAAUUCGAAGCAAACGCGAAGAACCUUACCUGGCCUUGACAUGUACGGAUUAAUUCCUGUGAAAGCAGGAGGACAGCUCUUCGGAGUCGGAACGUACACAGGUGUUGCAUGGCUGUCGU